rnacentral:rRNA from 1 species
UACGUAGGGGGCAAGCGUUGUUCGGAAUUACUGGGCGUAAAGGGCUCGUAGGCGGCCAACUAAGUCGGACGUGAAAUCCCCAGGCUCAACCUGGGAACUGCGUCCGAUACUGGAUGGCUUGAAUUCGGGAUAGGGAUGCAGAAUUCCAGGUGUAGCGGUGAAAUGCGUAGAUAUCUGGAGGAAUACCGGUGGCGAAGGCGGCAUCCUGGACCGACAUUGACGCUGAGGAGCGAAAGCGAGGGGAGCAAACGGG